CUCUUUUAUUGAUCUGCACGCGCCUGAUUUUUGAGCGCGCGCUAAUAACACUUCCGUGGUGAUAAUGCGGGCCUCGUGACCUGUGAAGGCAGCGGGAAAGGUGGUUCGAAAGGUCAAGAAAGGGGCCGGGACUGGCUGUAAUCACCUGCACCAGGAGCACUGCAGCUCCGUUUUACCUGCCGUGUCUGCCACAGCACAGGUGCUGCUGCUGACCUUUACUCUAAAAGUGACUUUUAAAAAGAAUCUCACGCUUUUGCUGACAGUGACACCGGCUCGGCAAAUUCCUCCGCACAUUUUUAGGAUGCCUGGCUGCGCCGGCCUAAAAGCGGAGAGCUUCCUGAACCGGCUGGAAUAGGAUGUCAACAAAUGACGCAGCAGAAGCGGAGCUCAGAGUUGUAGGAGGGGAGUCAGCGGCGAUUCAGCGCGGGACAGCGCCUCCGAGGAGCACAACCAGCGCACGGCAACACCAUCAAGACGCAUUUGAUGGAAGAUUCCUGCGUGACCUUCAUCAGGGUGACACAAGUCCAGCUGAACAGGAUCAGUCUGCCAUCAGACAUGAAGAAACGCACAAACCGCUAAUUUCAGAAGCAGAUGGGGUUAGAAAAGACGCAGCAUCACAUCACGAGCUUUUGGAUGUGCAUAUCCAGAGCUCUGUCGGGCCCAGUUUCACCUCCAGCUUCUCCUUAAGACUGUCCAGAUCAAAGUUACAGCUUCAGGAGAAUUCAGAUGCCGGGUCGGGUCAGCAGACCAGUUCCACUGUUGCACAAGUGAAAGAGAAAAAAGUUGCUAUCUCUGAGGGUAAUGGACUGAGGUCAUCACCGCCUGUCACGUCUGCAGAGCUGACCAGGAUCUGUCCCGUAACAGGGAAAACUCCUUUUCCAGUGAAGAGUGCGGCACAUAUUAUUCCAGAUGCUGUUAAUAACAAUUUGGGGAAUGCCACAGACUUCAGUUCUAAUGAAGGUCUGCCAAAUUGUGACUUUGGAUCUCAUGGUGGUUCACGCACUUCUCCAUGUGAAUUGCAAGAAAGAUCUUGCUCUGUAAGUGGAACUGAGAAAGAACAAAAUCAGCGAGAUUGUACAGUCUUCAAUAAGCAUCAUCUUUGGAAGGUUUCUGACUGUACUGCCAUGUUGUCUUCCACUGUGGUAACAGUUCUUGCUCCUCACUGGAGUGGAAGAGUGCGGCGACCCAAAAGAUUUGACGGAACUCUGAGUUCAGAAACUGUGGGGAAUUCGCAGGACUUUCCAUACAGUGAGCAUAUUUUGAACCGGGGUGGUGAAAGUCCCUUGAAUGCUAGAUCACAUGUGCCAAGAACAGUCCCAUCAAUGGGAUUUAGGAGGAAUACAGUAGACUGGUCAUCUAAAAGUGAUCCAUCAAGCUUCCACUUGGGAUUUAAAAGGGAAAUGAGUCACUCUGUGUCUUUGGAUCCUGGUGCUAUAAGCUCUUCCAGCACCACUCCAUCAACCAGAGUGCCAUACUUUUUUGACCCAAAUAUACCAAGGAGGAAUCCCCAAACUGGCCAACAAGAAGCACUUUCAUCUGCAAGCUCUAAACUGGCAAACAGCAGUUUGCCUCUGUCAUUGAGAAAAUCAAAUUCCAACGACAGAAGCUCCAACAAAACCUCUACCUUCCCUGAGGCAAACCUUUCACGUGUAAAAGGUUUUCCAAAUGAUCAAAACCAAAACAUGCUGACAAAGCAACACUCUCAACAAAACACAAAUGAGGAAGACAGACAGAAGUCCCUUUUUAUUCCAUCGUCUAGUUCUUAUAGGACUAAUGAAACUGGACCUGUCCUUUCCCCAAGGUCUUUCAGUCAGAAAGUGGUACACAAGGCAGAGGAUCCUGCCUUUACCCAACAACCCAAUGCAGUAAAUAACAAUCUAACCACUGUUGCACCAUUCAGUCACUCACUUCAGACAAAAGGACUUUCAGCAAUUCAACAAAACUCCACAGUUUUGGAAAAAAAAUCGGAAUCCUGUUUGGACACUUCCAUCUCCCCUUUAUCCAGACAGUCCUUAUAUGGUCACACUACCAUUACAAAAACUCAUUCUCUUCCCAGACGACCCACUCUGACAUCCACCUCUUGGUGGAAACAAGUUUCUCAAGAAGGAAAUUAUCUCGCCGUUGAUAAAACAACCAAAGAACAGUCAAAAACGGCUGUGGUUCCUCCAUUUAAUCAUAGUGACCAAAUGGUCUAUUUAAAUCUGAAUGACAACAAGCAACUGGAUAAUCAUAUCUCAAGUAACAACAACCUAGCAGAGUUGCUACUCAAAGAUGAUGUGAUCUCUGCUGUGAAGACAUCGUCAACUGACACAAGGAGACCGGACAAACAGGAGUGUGUGUCAGUUGUGAACAAAGAACCACAUAAAUCUUACAGCAUGCCAGAUGUAUUGAGCUGUAGAAUAAGCAAACCAACUGUGCCACUGAUGCCAAAGAACACUAAAGAUUUCCCGAAGCUUGAACCCAAAAUUGCAACGUCACAGGGAGUCAACCUGUGAACCAGGGGAAGGAAUGAGCUUAGGUCCAAGGAGACGGGCUUCCACUGGCCCUCCAAGAAAUUCAGUCCUGGACAGCAGCCUUUUGACUUCUUCUUAUGCAGACCUGAAAUACGGGAUUGAGCCUGGAAGAUCCUUUUCUGUUAGCUCAGUUCUUUCCAAUCGUCCCUCAGGGUCUGAAAGGAAUUCUACUCGUUCCAGGUUUAUGAGUGUGGGAGAUCUUUCUCAGUCUGGGUUGUCUUGUGGAACCAGUGGCACAGGUUUGGAUCAGGGACCUUCAACACCAAACUGGACUGAAGAAUUGGGUACAAAGCAUUACCGUCAAAUGUCAAAGUUUUACAGUGAUCCAGACAAAAUGCGAUCUAGGUCCCUGCCUAGAUCUUGGACCCAAUGUUUAUCAAGCUGUAACAUGGCAGCACCUUCUUCUCAACCCGCUACCACCUCGAAACGAACUCGCCUUCGGGGUCCUAGCAUUAACACAUGUCAUUUUGCAUGGGAUACAGAGGGUCCCCCUACUCCUCCUCCAACCCCUCCCCUCUCACCAGUCUCCAAAUGCAUGUCCAAAGCUUUCAAACUUCCUUCUCCUACAUUACCUUGCACAUCUGGAGUCCUGCAGCAGCCAGAUGGCCAACCUUCUAGAGUAAAUUUGCCCUCCAAAGGUUACAUGGCAAGCCUGGGCACUUUUGACGAAUCCUCUGACAACAGCUCCGACACCACGACAGAUGAUGAAUAUUACUUAGAACCAGAUGAUGAUGGAGAGAAGGAGACAGAGCUGUGAAAGAAGGAGACUUUAUGCUUAAAUAAGCGAUGGCAUGGCAUGAAAGAUGGUAUUAAUUUUUGUCAGUAAUUACCUCUGUCCUUUUAUUUUGUCUUGGUUAAGUAAAAUAUCUAAAUUAAUAACUGGAAAUUUUGGUUACUGUUUAAUUAUGCUCUUAUUUUCCUUAUAGUCCUACUGUAGUAAAAAGCAUGAUAUAAACUCAGCUUAAGAUUCUUGGUUGGACGGGCUUAUGUAUGUACACUGUACUUGUGUAUGAUUGUAUUUGUGCUUUUUAUAAUUGACAAAUUAGGUUUGGUUGCAUGGCACUAUGCAAAAGAGGUAUUAAGAUUUAAUUUGUUGGAAUAGGGCAAGAUUUGAUCUAGUCGUACCGGAUCCAACAGUAGCAUAAAUGACACAAGUGUCAUCACUUUUAGACUUUGCUGAUUUGAUGCUAAGAUUACUGGGUGUAAAACUUUUUUAAAAUCGUUUUAAGGUUGUUUUUUUAGGUAUCUAAUAUGACCAUCAUAUUUUAGUUCUGAAAAUAAUGCAGACUUUAUAAAAAGUUAAAACGAGGAUACACUUGUGAGAAACAUCUGAAGAACAUUCAGAACUAUCUGGUCAAAAUUGUUGGUUACUGCAGAGUUCACCUUAGUCUACUCAUGUUUGUGUUCCCAGACAAACAAACACGCCCACUGUAUCACUACCAGAACACCGAACUUAUUUAAGUUUUGAAAGACAAUUUGUUUUGAAUUUGGAUGCAACCCAGUUGAUUCAAUAUCAAUUUGUGUCCAUUUUUGUUGGAUGUAUUUGUUGAAAACCAGAAAGUGUGCACCUCAUACCAGUUGUUAAGCACAGUAGUGGAGUGCUGAUGAUUUGGGAUUGGGAUUUUAUUUAUUUAAAGCUACACAAUAUAAAAAACUUGGAUUAAGUUAUUUUAAAUAUUCUACAUUCAAAGUAUUUUGUUUAAAAAAACAGUCACAUCUGUCUGGGAGUUUAACAAUAACUGUAUCUAGCAGCUCAACAGGGUGUUGCCCUUUUCUAACUCCAGACCUGACUUAAGGUCAGUCUACAGCACUUCGGUGAACUUUGAUGGAAAAGGUUCACACAGAUGGACCUAGGGCUUGAACAGAGAAGUGGAUCAUAGUUCUCCAAAAUCAUGCGAGAGAUAAAUAAACAAAAAGUUUUUUUCAAGAGGUGUUUUUGAAAAUUAAAAUCAAAACUUUUUCUUACAUCUGCUUAAUUUUCUAUUUUAUUUAAAGAUUGUUAAUUAUAAUUUUAUUUGUUUAAUUUAAAGACCUAGUGAAGACAAUAUGUUAAGCUCUGAUGUCUUUAACUUCAGAAAUUAAAGAGGGUGUACUUGUUUGCCCACAUGUAUGUACAUAUAAAUAUUAAUAUAUGUGUAGUUAUUUUGAAAAGCAAAUAUUUGUUCAACUCAACCCCCCUUUAGGUUUGUUUUUCUGCCAUUUCAGAAUCUGUCUCCAAAAAUUGCAUAGCCACUCAAAUAUUUUCUAAACUCCUUCUUUGGAAUAUUGUUGUAAAAAUUGUACAUUGGGAUGAAAUGACAACAUAAUAAAAUAUUUGCUAAAAUAUAAAAUGCUGGUGCCUAAUCUUAUGUGUAGAGAUGAUCUCAAAUCUUAAUAUAUCUGUUUUAUAAUAAAAGUGAUGUUUCUAAUGACUUUCCUUGUGCUUUUUUUUUUUUUUUUUUUUUUUUUUUUACUCUAUUUUGUUUUUAAAAUGUCAGUUUGAAUGGAAAACAAAGCUGCUUAAGGCGACAAUUUGAUGCAGCUUUUCUGGAGUUACAACUGUGUUUGCAUUACUAGCGACCGAAGACCUGCUAUGGAGACGGCAGGAUAAACCCUCCUUUUGCCCUGAGAGUGUAAUCAGUGUGUCGUGUUUACUGGCAGUUAACUCUGGUUUUUUUAACCUUGCGUGAGACUUUCACAUUGAGGCAGCACAUUCCGCUUUGUCUUGUUAAGCUUGACGUUAUCAGGGAAAGACACUAGCAGCCUCAAAUCACUUUUUCCAUUUUAACUCACCAAAGGAAAAUAGAGCACUGAUAACAUGUACAGAUGUGGUGCAGCCCAGCCCUGUGAACACACAUCCUAAAAGGUGGCCAUGGUGAUUAUUGGCAUAUGAGUCAGUCAAUGGGCGGCUGGUAUAAAGGCCUGCAGGAAACUUUGUGGAGUUGGCUUUUGUUUCCCGACAGGAUAAAGAUCGAAAAUGUCAAUAUUUAAACGCUGAUAAACUGUGUGCUGUUGAUUAGGAAGUGGGCUAUCAAAAAACCUGCAUACCAAACAGGAAACUGUUGGUUUGCUGUUCAAAUCAGAGAAACCCACCUUGUUUAAAUAUUUUCUUUUGAAGUCAUAAGGUUGCUGCGGUUUCUUGAAUUAAAAAAGGUUUGCUUUUUAUUAGAGUGGCUUCAAACAUCAUUGGGGUAUCAUGUGUGCAUGCUCAGCAGGUGCAGAAUUACUGCAAGACAAAAACUCAAACAGGAAAAACGAC
ensembl:lncRNA